AUUGAACGCUGGCGGAAUGCUUUACACAUGCAAGUCGAACGGUAGAGGGGGCAACCCCCUUGAGAGUGGCGAACGGGUGAGUAAUAUAUCGGAACGUGCCCAGUCGUGGGGGAUAACGUAGCGAAAGUUACGCUAAUACCGCAUACGAUCUAAGGAUGAAAGCGGGGGACUCGCAAGAGCCUCGCGCGAUUGGAGCGGCCGAUAUCAGAUUAGGUAGUUGGUGGGGUAAAGGCUCACCAAGCCAACGAUCUGUAGCUGGUCUGAGAGGACGACCAGCCACACUGGAACUGAGACACGGUCCAGACUCCUACGGGAGGCAGCAGUGGGGGAAUUUUGGACAAUGGACGCAAGUCUGAUCCAGCCAUUCCGCGUGCAGGAUGAAGGCCCUCGGGUUGGUAAACUGCUUUUGUACGGAACGAAAGGUUUCUAUUAAUACUAGGAGCUCAUGACGGUACCGUAAGAAUAAGCACCGGCUAACUACGUG
rnacentral:rRNA from 1 species